GGACAAGAAGGAAGUGGUCCCUUUUCUCUUGCUCUUCCUUCUGGUCUCUGCUCGAGGAUCACCAUGUAAACCCGGGAAGACAGGACACUUCUGCUGGCGUCUGAUGAGUUACAACACAGAGAUGAACCCUGUGACCUGGAUGUUAUUUAUGAUGCAGUCCUGUGCAGUGCACCCCAGAAUCCACCUGUGACAUCAUUUGAGCUCCUUGGAAGUUCUGAGGUAACAGACAUGCAUCACCAUGCUCAGCAAGCCACGUUCUUCUUAGAGUCAUCAUCAAUGAACUGCACACCGACCUGGUACCCAACAUACAUCUACACUGCCCAGACACUCAGAAAUCUGCACUCUAAGAAGGCCUAGGAACCCUUCAUCUGGAAGCAUGCCUGUCACCCAUGCCAUGCUGGUUUGCAGGCAUGCAGAAUGCAAGAGCUGUGGGGUCAUGGAGACUUCCAGCUAGAUGCAAAGAAAAGCCUAAGAGGUCAAGAAAUGUGUAGCAAUGUCCUAUUUCCUCUGGAAAUGUUUGCUCUGUGCCAUUACAGUUUAGAAGUAGGUUGGUUUCUUUUUGAUGGACAGAGACUCCCUUUGAAUUCCAAGGGAGAUGUUGAACAUGAUUUUUUUUUUUUUUUUGGACUGAGGAUUGAAGCCAUUUCCUCACAAGUCAGGCAAAUGUCCUACCACUUCUCCAGGGAACAGAGGCUUCUUCCUUUUUUUUUUUUUU
rnacentral:lncRNA from 1 species